CAGCGAAUGUUUCAGAGGGUGACCGACUCGGGGCUGCCCCGGUCAAUCCAUGCACAUAAUGGUACUUUCCGUCUGUCUCUUUACGCAGGUGAUGCUAUGGUGUUUGCCAAUCCGGACAGGGACGAGCUAAGGGUUAUUGCGGGUAUCUUAGGCGCUUUGGCGAUGCAAGUGGGCUGCUAUUGAACAUGGACAAGACUGAAAUUUAUCCUAUCCGUUGUGACGGCGUUGACCUAACAGAAGUGUUGGCCAUGCAUUGGUUAACUGGGAAAUGGUUUGUCGGCCUAGCAUGUAUAAUGGUGUUAUCUUAGCGGUGCCACGUAGGAUAAAUGCUAAGGUGGAGGAGAGAGAAAUCAUAAGAAAAAACUUGUCUUCUCUUAUUUAAGAGAUGAUCUCUUAGCACAAUAUGUCUCACCACGGUUUUAGUAAUAGCUAGUUAUUGAAGAGAAGACUAAAAAAUAACCCAUUGUAGGCAUGUAUUUAUUGUCAUAUCUAAAUUACAUGCAAGCCUUAUGAUAAGACGGUCUUAUCAACCAUUGUGCAUGCCCUAAAGAUUUUCGGUUACGGAUCUUCUAGACUUAUGGCUCUGUGACCGCGUGACAUUGUGUAAUAAAAAAUGCUAGACUUAUGG
rnacentral:lncRNA from 1 species